UAUCUGGUUGAUCCUGCCAGUAGUCAUAUGCUUGUCUCAAAGAUUAAGCCAUGCAUGUCUAAGUAUAAGCACUUGUACUGUGAAACUGCGAAUGGCUCAUUAAAUCAGUUAUCGUUUAUUUGAUUGUACCUUUACUACUUGGAUAACCGUGGUAAUUCUAGAGCUAAUACAUGCGANAAGUCCCGACUUUUGGAAGGGAUGUAUUUAUCAGAUUCAAAACCAAUGCGGGUUCUGCCCGGUCAUUUGGUGAUUCAUAGUAACUGUUCGAAU
rnacentral:ncRNA from 1 species